rnacentral:lncRNA from 1 species
GUGCGAGUUGAGCAUUGGUCUUGGCAAACAGGGGCUGAGCUGUAACCGUAAGUAAUGGGACCCGGGAGUGUGGGAGAAGAUUGGAGCCCAAUUAUCUGCAGGAGCAUGACACUGAACUAAGACAUGGGUUUGAAUACUAGGUUUGAAUACUAGGUUGUGCUACUAACUAGUUAUGUGAUCUUGGGAAAGCCACAUAACUUGUUGUUUUGUAGUGCUGGGGAAUCAAACCCACUGUCUCAUGCAUCUUUUUUAAGCUUUAGUUUCCUCUACUGAAAAUGAAGUCAUUGUGAGCAUUAAAUAGUUUGAUACUAAAAAAAAAAAAAAAAAAAUGUGCUUCACAGCCAAGCUUGGUGGUGUACACCUGUAAUCCCAGUUAUUCAAUAGGCUGAAGCAAGAGGAUCACAAUUUCAAGGGCAGCUUCAGCAAUUUAGCAAGACCCUAUCUUAAAAUAAAAAAUAAAAAGGGCUGGGAUGUGGCUCAGUGGUAGAGUACUCCUGAGUUCAAUCCCCAGUACUGCAAAAAAAGAAAGAAAAAGAAAAGUGCUUCACACGUUGUAAUCACACACUAUAAAAUGCAAUAAAAAGUAGUUAGCCAGGCACGGUGGUGAAUGCCUGUAAUUCCAAUGGCUCAGAAGGCCGAAGCAGGAGGAUAACAUGUUCAAAGCCAGCCUCAGCAAUUUAGUGAGACUCUAAGCAACUUAGCAAGAACAGGUUUUGGAUGUGGCUCAGUGAUUAAGCCCCUUUGGGUUCAAUCCAUGGCACCCUCCCCCACCACACAUACAAAAAGUAGUUAUUGGCUGGGUUUAGUACACAUGCCUGUAAUCCCAGCAACCAGGGAUACUGAGGCAGUAGAAUUGCAAAUUCAAGGCCAUCCAAGCAAUUUAGUGAGAUCCUGUCUCAAAACAAAAUUUAAAAAAGGUUUGGGGAUGUAGGUAGGUGUAGACCUCCCCUGGGCUUAAUCCAUAAUACCAAGAAAUAAAUAAAUAUUAGUUAUUAUUGAUAAUGUUAUUUCUGGGCCUCCCUUAGAUCAUCCAGCCUAAUUCCAGCUGGCCCAUGGAUGGUGUGGAGACAGGCUUAGGGUGGUAGUUGCUUUUUUAGGAGGAGGAGUGAGAAGAAGUCACAGUUUUUGGAGGUGAAUCCCCCCCACAAAAAAAUUAAUUAUCUGCUACACCCUUGAAAGCAAGGAAUUUGAUGUCUUGUUCUAGAGGGUGAUCCUUUCCCCAAGUAAAGAACAGAUGUGGGAAAGGACUGCAGCUAAGGCUCUGACCUUUUUCCCUUUCCCCCAGUCUGUAAGUACACUGUUCACGACCAGUGUGCCAUGAAGGCCCUGCCUUGUGAAGUCAGCACCUAUGCCAAGUCUCGGAAAGACAUUGGUGUGAGUGAUCCCUGGAAGCUUCUCCCACUCCCCACAUUGCCACCCCCAUCUUGGCCCCGGUCCUUAGUUUUUUGCUCCCCUCGGCCUCUUCCUCCCCCAGUCUCUGCAGACUAGGAACUGUCUUUCUCCCUAAGGUCCAAUCACACGUGUGGGUGCGAGGAGGCUGUGAGUCCGGGCGCUGUGACCGCUGUCAGAAAAAGAUCCGGACCUACCACAGUCUAACCGGGCUGCAUUGCGUAUGGUGCCACCUAGAGGUGUGAGAGCUCUCCGUCCAGUCUAUAUGCCUUCUGGUCUCUCCUCAAGGGCCCUCUCUCCACAGGCCUCCUCAAUCCCACCUCCUUUACAGCUGUAGUUGUCCUCGCUCCCAAGGGCUCUCUUUCCAAUCCAGACCCAAGUUGAAAGGUGGUAGAGUCCCUUGCAUGAUCCUGUAUGCCCAUCUUGUCUUUCAGAUUCAUGAUGACUGCCUGCAAGCCGUGGGCUCUGAGUGUGACUGUGGGCUGCUCCGGGAUCACAUCCUGCCUCCAUCUUCCAUCUAUCCCAGCGUCCUGGUGAGACACAUAGAAUGUCAUUUAGAACAGGAGACCCUAUACUUCUAGGAUUCGAGUCAGGCCCAUCUGUUUAGGGAUUUAUACACAAUCCAGCUCUCCUUCCCUCUGCUUUGCUCCCCUCCCAGGCAUCUGAACAGGAACGCAAACACAGCAAAACAAGCCAAAAGACCACAGAUGACUCAAAUUUGUGCAUCUCUGAAGCUCUGCGGGUACAGGGUUGAGGUCUUGGGCUUCAUGGUGGGGUCAGUUUUUGGCUGGAGCUGACAUGGGAGGGACUGAAGUGGGAAAUCCUUGGGAAGUGCUGCCUGAUUUCUAGAGGCUCCAUGGGGUAGGAGAGGAGAGAAGAACAUGAAGGAGGGGGAAAGCAUUUGGGAAAUGCCAGUCCUCUGCCCCUGUCUCCAGGACCCACUUUAACACUGACAAAAUCCUGCUUUCUUUAUUCUUAUUUUCUUCCCCAACUGCAGAUCAACCCUGUUUCUAACACCCACCCACUUCUAGUCUUUGUCAAUCCCAAGAGUGGUGGAAAGCAGGGACUGAGGUGAGGAAAAAGAAAUUAGGGGGGCUGGGGUUAUGGCUCAGUGGUAGAGGGCUCACCUAGCAUGCAUGAGGCACUGGGUUCAAUCCUCAGCCAAAGGUAUUGUGUCCACUUAAAAUUAAAAAAUAAAUAUUAAAAAAAAAAGACAUUGGGUCUUUCUAGAUGGAGAGGGAGGGCCAGAGCUUGGAGGGAGAAAAGGAAUAUGUAUCUAAUUGGAUCACCUUGAGGAAAACAUGAAGCUUUCCUUUUUUUACUCACACAGGGUCCUUUGGAAGUUCCAAUAUAUACUAAACCCUCGGCAGGUGAUCAACCUCCUAAAGGAUGGUCCUGAACAAGGGUGAGUAUAGGCUAGGGGCCAUAUCACAGUGUUUUCUUGUGUCUAUACAUGUUGAGAGUAAACAGUACACAGUGCAUAUUGAGAGAGGAGGCCUAGGGGAACCCAAGACACCAGAAUUUCGAAUGCUUCUUUCCCUAAGGUAUCUCCUCCUCUCAGCUCUCUUUCCAUCUUUGUCCUGUUUUCUUUCUUUCUUUUUUUUUUUUUUGGUGCUGGGGAUUAAACCCAGGGCCUUGUGCAUGCAAGUCAAGCACUCUACCAACUGAGCUAUAUCCCCAGUCCUUUGUCCUGUUUUCAAGGGAUGAAGAUCCAUUUUUUCCCCUAACCACUAAGGAGUAGCUAUAAUUUUCUCCAUUGUCCUUUUCUCUUUCUAGAAAUUCAAGUCUUCUUUAUUUUAAAAAUCAUUGUCAAGAGCUGUAGUGCACACCUGUAAUCUCAGCGACUAGGGAGGCUGAAGCAGGAGAAUCACGAGUUCAAAGCCAACCUCAGCAAAAGCGAGGUGCUAAGCAAUUCAGUGAGACCCUGUCUCUAAACAAAAUACAAAUAUGGCUGGAUAUGUGGCUCAGUGAUCUAGUGCUCCUGAGUUCAAUCCCCGGUACCAGGGGGGAAUAAAAAAAAAAAUAUAUAUAUAUAUAUAUAAAUAUAUAUAAUUGUGUGUGUGUGUGUAUAUAUAUAUAUGUAUAUAUAUGUGUGUGUGUGUGUGUGUGUAUAUAUAUAUAUAUAUAUAUAUAUAUAUAUAUAUAUAUAUAUAUAAAUAUAAAUAAUUUAUGGCCAGGUGUGGUGGCACAUAGCUGUAGUUCCAGCAACCUGGGAGGCUGAGACUGGAGGAUCAUGAGUUCAAAGCCAACCAACCUCAGUAACUUAGCAAGGCCCUAAGCAACACUUAAAGGACACUGUCUCUAAAUAAAACACAAAAAAGGGCUGAGGAUGUGACUCAGUGGUUUAGCAACCCAGGUUCAAUGCCUGGUACCAACAAAAAAAGCAAAUUAAAAAAAAAUUUAAUCAUUUUUUAAGGUGCUUGGGACAAAACCCAGGGCAUGUUAGGGAAAUACUUUACCACUGAGCUACAUCCCCAGCCCAAAACUCAAGUCUUUUGAAAAAGGGGAAAAAGGUAAUAUGAAUGAGACACAAGAAAUAAUCUGCUGGGCCCUGGGUUCGAUCCUCAGCACCACACAAAAAUAAAUAAACUAAAGGUAUUGUGUCCAUCUACAACUAAAAAAAAUAUUUAAAAAAAAAAGAAGUAAUCUGCUGUCCAGGAAUUAGAUAACCUCAGUCCUAUUAUCCUUCAUCUUUUCUCUCUCCCCUUUUGUCUCAGGCUCAGAUUCUUCAAAGAUGUUCCUGACAGCCGUAUUUUGGUGUGUGGUGGAGAUGGCACAGUAGGCUGGAUUCUAGAGGCCAUUGGUCAGUGCAAGGAGAAGCUCUAGGCGGAAUAUGGGGGCAGUGGUCUUCCAGAACCACUCUCCCCAUAUAUCUCUUCACCUGCCUCCCCAGACAAAAUCAACUUGCCUGUUGUACCUCCUGUUGCUGUGUUGCCCCUGGGCACUGGAAAUGAUCUGGCUCGUUGCCUAAGGUGGGGAGGAGGUAAGUGGUUGGAAAUUGCUAGGGGUUGGAGGGAGUUGGUUAAGAAGGGAAAGUCAUGGGGAGUAAUGUAGGCAUCUGGUAUAGAAAGAGCAUUGGGGAAAAAGAGGCACAGAUGGGUGAGUACCAAAGUGGAAGAACUAAAAGAAGAGAGUUUUGGAAGAAAUAGGGAACAUAUUCUGAGCCUAGAAGGACCAAGGGUGACUGUCUUCUUUCCUAUAAACCUAAAAAUAAAUGUCUGUCUCUCCUAAACAACUCUUAGGGCUCAGAGGAUCAAAGAACAUAGCGGGGGUAGAUGGAACCAUGUGGGAAUGAGGAAGGUUAUGUAAGAGCUAAGCCAGAUGAAGAGUAAUGAAGCUAGAAGGGAGCUUGUCAGUGAUUAAUUCAUUCAUUCAAAUGAUGAAAAGGUGGUCAUUCAUUCAUUCAUUCAUUCACUAUCAUUUCUUUCUGAGUCUACUGCAGUAGUCUCCUAACUGCACUCCCAUUUCUAAUCUUAUUCCUUUCAAAGAAAAGAGUUUUUUGUUUGAAAAAAAAAUUGUGUUUGAAGUGUCUUGGUAUUGAAGCUGUCAUGUUCAGAGUUCAGCUUCAAAAUCUCACUGGAGAUUAGGUAAUAAAGGUCUGCUAAGGAGAGUGAAAGAAUUCUAGGUGGGGAAAGUGGUAAAGGACAGAGGAGACAACAAACAACAUGGUGGUGUCUGUGAUUGGAACCUAGGCUGCAAGGUGGGAGAUGGACAAAGGGAGGACCCAGUUGAGCAGGUACAGAUUAUGGAAGCUAUUGGAAGCUAUUAAUGCUGUGCUGAAGAGUUUUUAUCCACACUCUGCCAAAGUUGGCAAGCUGAAAACCUACAGAAAUGAUUUUGUAUUAUUUUGUAGUUUGCUUUGCAGUGUUUUCAAUUUCUUUGAACUUCACUAUUUCUUUUUUUUUUGUUUUUGUUUUUGGUAUGGGAAUUGAACCAGGGGCACUUUACCACUAAGGUACAUCCCCAGUUCAUUUUAUUUUUUAUUUUGAGACAGAGUCUGGCUAAAUUGCUGAGAAUCUUGCUAAGUAGAUGAGGUUGACCUUGAACUUUAUGAUCCUCCUGCCUCAGCCUUCAGCCUCUUUUUUUUUUUAAUAUCUAUUUUUUAGUUGUAGGUAGACACGAUAUCUUUAUUUCAUUUUUAUGUGGUGCUAAGGAUUGAACCCAGGGCCUCACAUGUGAUAGGCAAGCACUCUACCAUUGAGCCACAACCCCAGCCCAACCCUUAGCCUUUUGAAUUUCUGGAAUUAAUCUUUUUUUUUUUUAAUUUUUAUUUUUGAUGGUACUGGAGAUUGAACACAGUGACAUUCUACCACUGAGCUCCAUACUCCCAACUUUUUAUUUUUUAUUUUGAGACAGGGUUUCACAAAAUUGCUGAGGUUGGACUCAAACUUACCAUUUUCCUGCCUCAGCCUUUGGGAUUACAGGAGUAUGCCACAGUGGGCAGUUGAACUUGAUUAUUUCUGAAGUGGGGCAUAUAUUCUUCAAUUCUCCACAAUCCUCUUGUUCUCUGCUCGUCACUCAUUUGUUUUACCUUUUAAGCCACUGAGGCACUGAGGUAUGUAGAUAUACAACAUUUUUUUUUGUGUGUGUGUGUGUGUGUAUAUGUGUGUUACUAGGAAUUGAGGCCCAGGGCUUCUUGUAUGCUAAGCAAGUACACUGCUACUGAGCUACAUUCCCAACCCUUUUCUUAUUUUAUGUUGAGACAGGAUCUUCCUGAGGUUGACCUCAAAGUUGCAAUCCUCCUGCCUCAGCCUCCUGAGUAGGUGCAAUUACCGGCAUGCCCCACUGUGUCCAGCCAUUUGACCAAUUUUUUUUUAAACCAGUUUUCGAGUCCACAACAAUUAAAUUUUUCAUUUGGUACUAGUCACUUUGAUAUUAGAUAUGUUGAGUCUUCACUGUGUGUUCUAUGAAUGAAACUCUGAAAGCAGUUUUCUGCUGACUUGACCUGAAUAAUGACUAUAAGAAUAUAAAUGAAAAUUAUAUGUCAGCAUUUAAAAAAAAAACCCAUAAGGUUUGAACAGAAGGAAGUGAAAGGAGUGUCACCGUGGGAGCUCUGGGGAGCAUGGAUAAGAGGUGAAGAAAGAGAUAGGAUAGGAAAUUACCUUUAUUACAAUGGUUCAGAUAAGAGAUGAUAAACAUAAAGGCAAAGAACAGCAGUGGAGUUAAUGAGAUAGAAGCAACAGCAUUUGAUAUCUGCUGGAUUACUGAGGAGGAGGUAGAGAUAAGCAUAGAACACUUUCUAGGUUUAGAGACUGAGCUGAGCAGAUGGGGGUGCCAUUUGUUAUGAUGGGGACUAUGUAAGCAAGACCAUUUUAAGAAAGAUAGAUUUACUUUUGGACAUGUUGAGCUGAGGUGUCAUUGGAGCAACCAGAUGGAGAUGAUGUGGUAGGAAGAUAGAAAUCGAUGUCUAUUUCUAAUAGGAAUUUAGAAGAAAAAUCAGGGAUAGAGAUACACCUUGGAGAGUCAUCUAUUCCCAGUGCUGGUAGUUGAUAGCCUAACAGGAGAUGAGAUUACCCAAGGAGAUAAGGAUAGCAAGAUCCUAGUAAACACCAUAUUUAAUGGCUGAGCAGAAAAAGAGGAAUUAUUAAAUAGUCUUUAUUAGUUUCCCAUUUCUCCCUGUUACAAAUUACCAUAAAUGCUGGCCUAAAGCAACACAUAUUUAUUGUCUUACAGUUCUGGAAAGUCAUAAGUCCACAAUAGGACUCAUUGGGCUAAAAUCAAGGAAGUGGCAGAACUGUUUUUCUCUUGAGAGCCUAGGGAAGAAUCAUUCACCUUUCCUUUUCCAGGUUCUAAUGUCUGCCUACAUCCCUUGGCUGUGGUCCCACUUCCAACCAGCAAUGUUAUCACUCUGAUCUCUGCUUCUGUUGUCACCUCUUCUAUGACUCUUCACUCCUGCCUUCCUCUUUCACUUUUAAGGACCCCUGUGAUUACAUUGGGACCAUCCAGAUAAUCCAGGAUAAUCUCUCAUUCAAGAUCCUUAAUUUAAUCACAGUCUCUUUUAAAUACAGUCUCUUUUGCCAUGUAAGGUUCUUUUAUUUUUAAAUUUUAUUUAUUUGAGAUGGAUCUCCCUAAAUUACCUAGGCUGUCCUAAAACUCCUGGGUCCAAGUGAUCCUCCUGCCUCAGCCUUCAUGUAGCUGGGAUUACACAGGAGUGUGCCACCAUGUCCAACAUAAUUUUUGUGUUUUUAUAUGUAUACACGUAUGUGUACCCACACAUAUGACGUUUUAACAAAUAAAUGGAAUCACACUAGACAGAUUGUUCUAGUACUUCUUUUUCAUUGAAUAUAUCUUGGAAAUCUUUCCAUGCUAGUACAUAUAGAUAGAUUUCACUCUAUAUCCAAUAUCUGUACAGUAUUCCAUGAAUUUGCCAUAAUUUAUAUGGCCUUCCCUUACUGGUGGACAUUUAGAUUGUUUCCAGUAUUUCAGAGAGCACAUCAACAAAGAUCCAUCUCUGUACGUGUGCAUUAAUUUCUGUAGGAGAAAUUCCUAAAAGUAAUUGUUUUGUCAAAACAAUAUAUAUAUAUAUAUAUAUAUAUAUAUAUAUAUAUAUUUUUUUUUUUUUUUGGUGUGCACAUCGUUCUGGGAUUGAAUCCCAUACUGAGCUAUACCUACAGCCCUGUUUAUUUUUGGUUUUGAGACUGGAUCUCCCUAAGUGAUCCAGGCUGGUCAACCUUAAGAUCUUCCUGCCUCACCUUCCUGAGUAGCUGGAAUUAUAAAGUGCUACCAUGCCUAGCUGUUUUGAUCAAAUUUGAAAUGGCUUUGAUUAAAAAUUGCCAAAUUGCCUUCCAAAGAUGAGGUGUUUUUGUUUUUUAUUUUCCUACAGUUCUGGGGAUUGAACCUAAGGAUACUCAACCACUGAGCUAUAUUAUUUUAUUUAUUGGUUACUGAAGAUUGAACUCAGGGAUGCUUUACCACUGACUACAGCCCCAAUCUUUUUUAUUUUUUAUUUUGAGACAGGGUUUCACUAAGUUGCUGAGGCUAGACAAGGCUGGCCUCAAACUUGUGAUCAUCCUGCCUUAGCCUCCUGAGUAGCUGUGCCACUGUGCCUGGCUGAGUUAUUAUUUCAUGCUCCAACUAACAACAAAUGAGAAUGACAGUUUACUCAUAAACUCAUAAACAGUUUUCUUAAUCUUCUUAUAAAUUGUUAAUUUGAUUAACAAAAAGUUAACUAAUCAUUUUACAUUUCUUUGAAUUAUUAGUAAUAUUGAUUAUCUUUCUUGUGCAUAUUGGCCACUUGUAUUUCUUCUGUGAUAGGCUUAUUUGCAUUACUUCCCAUUUUUCUAUUGACUUUAAUAUAGUGAUUUGUAAUUUUUUUUUUUUUUUUUUUUUGGUGUGGGUGGUUCUGGGAAACAAACCCAGGGCCUCAGGCAUGCUAGGCAAGUGCUCUACCACUGAGCUACACUCCUAGUUCUAUAAGCAUUUUUUUGAAUGUUGGGAAAGUUAAUCCUAUUAUGUAUGUGCCUUUUAGCCUUGUUUUUAUAUUUUUUUAGGUGUGUGUUUAUUUAACCAUACAAAAGUUUUUGUUUUUUUUAAUACCAGGAAUUAAAUCCAGGAGCACUUAACCACUGAGCCACAUCCCUAGCCCUUUAUAAUUUUUUUUUUUUUUCAAUUUUGAGACAGGGUCUUGCUAAGUUGCUUAGGACUUCAUCAAGUUGCUGAGGCUUACCUUGAAUUUGUAAUCCUCCAGCCUCAGUCUCCCGCCACUGGGAUUAUAGGCAUGCAGCACCUGGCCAAAAGUUUUAAAUUUUAAUAUAAUUAUAUUUAUCCAUCUUCUUUGGCACCUAGGUUUGUAUUAUGCUUAAAAAACAUUUAUUUUUUAAUUGUAGGUGGACACAAUACCUUUAUUUUAUUUUUAUGUGGUGCUGAGGAUCUAACCUAGUGGCUCACGCAUACUAGGUAAGCACUCUACCUCUGAGCCACAACCCCAGCUCUAUUAUGCUUUAUAAAGACCUUUUCAUCCAAGGAUUAUAAAAGAAAUUCACUCAUUUUUCUUCUAGUACAAAUCCUGUUUUUUGUUUGCUUGUUUGUUUUUGCUUAUUUUGUUUACUGGGGAUUGAACCCAGGCACUUGCACAUGCUAGACAAGUACUCUACCAUGAAGCUGUAUCCCCAACCCUACUGCUUUAGUUUUUCAUACUUGCUUUUUUUGCUUCAGAUUGGUUUAAAAAGUGACUUCUAUCCAGGCACAGUGGUGCAUACCUGUAAUCCCAGCAGUUUGGGAGGCUGUAGCAGGAGAAUGACAAGUUCAAAACCAGCUUCAGGGCUGGGGAUGUGGCUCAAGAGGUAGCGCGCUUGCCUGGCAUGCAUGCGGCCCGGGUUCGAUCCUCAGCACCACGUGCAAACAAAGAUGUUGUGUCCGCCAAAAACUAAAAAAUAUUUUAAAAAUUCUCUCUCUCUCUCUCAAAAUAAAUAAAUAAAUAAAUAAAAUUUAAAAAACCAGCUUCAGCAAUUAGCAAUUUAGUGAGGCUCUAAACAACUCAGUGAGAUCCUGUCUCUAAAUAAAAUACAAAAAAAAAGGCGAGGAGCUGGGAAUGUUACUCAGUGGUUAAGUGCCCCUGGGUUCAACCCCGGGGGAAAAAAAAAAAAAAAAAAAAAAAGACUUCUUCAUCUAGUACCAUGUACCAUGUACUGAAUAAUUUAUUUUUCUCCAUUUAUUUGAAAUGUUGUAGUAUGCUAAAUUCCCAAAUAUGUUGAAAUCUAUUUGGAAAACUAUUUUUUUUUUUAAGUUCUAAGAAUAGGGCCUCUUACAUGCUAGGUAACUACUCUUACCAAUGGGCUACAUCCUCAGCCCUUUUAAAAAAAAAAUUAUUUUUACUGAGGAUUGAAUACCUGGGCACUGAGCUAAAUCCUCCUCAGUUAUUUUUAUUUUAUUUUAUCCUUAUUAUUUAAUUUAAUUUUUAUUUAUUUAUUUGUUUAUUUAUUUAUUUAUUUUUGUGAUGCUAGGGAUGGAAUCCAGGGCCCUGCACAUGUUGGGCAAGCCUACCAAUGAGCUACAUUCCCAGCUUAUGUUUUAUUUUGAGACAGGGUCUCAAUAAGUUGCUGAGGCUGUCCUCCAACUUGCAGUCUUCCUGCCUUGAUCUCCUGCAUAGCUGGGAUUACAGUUGUGCAUCACCAUUCCCAGCUCUAUUCUUUACCAUUAAAUUGCUUAUUCUAGUCACUGUGCCAGUAUCAUACUGUUUAGAUACUUCCUUUAUUCUGUGUUCUUCCUGGUGGAAUGAAGCAAGAAAGCAUGAGGGAGUGAGGGAGACUGUCCCCAUUUUUUACUCAUCUUUUUCAGCAUUUUCCUAGCUGUUCUCUCCAAUUCUCCAGAUGAAUUUUGUAUCUGUUUUUGUUUGUUUUAUACCUGAGAUUGAACCCAGGGGUGCUUAAACACAGAGCCACAUCCCUAGCCCUUUUAAUUUUAAAGUUUUAGGGUCUCACUAAGUUGCUUAGGGCAUCGUCAAAUUGCUGAGGCUGGCUUUGAACUUGAGAUUCUCCUGCCUCAGCCUCCCAAGCCACUGUGAUUACAGGUGUGCCCCACCAUUCCCAGCAAGGCUGACCCCUCUUAACCUUGGUCCACAGAGGCUGCACAUCCUACCCUUUCAGUGUUUUUUUUUUUUUUUUUAAGAGAGAGAGAAAGAGAGAGAGAUUUUUUUUUUAAUAUUUAUUUUUUAGUUCUCGGCGGACACAACAUCUUUGUUUGUAUGUGGUGCUGAGGAUCGAACCCGGGCCGAACGCAUGCCAGGCGAGCGCGCUACCGCUUGAGCCACAUCCCCAGCCCCCUACCCUUUCACUGUUGAUGGCUAGGAGAUUCUGCAGAACCAGAGCAGAGGGUUCUUGGAGAUUUGCAGAUCUGGGGAUAAGAGGAGGGCUCUGGAAGACUCAGGGCUCAGUGCUAAUCUGUCUUCUCUUCCACCUUUAGGGUAUGAAGGAGAGAAUUUGGCAAAGAUUCUCAGGGAAUUAGAGAUGAGUACGGUGGUAUAUAUAGAUCGAUGGUCCCUGGAAGUGAUACCCCAACAAACUGAAGAAAAGACUGAUCCAGUCCCCUUUCAAAUCAUCAAUAACUACUUCUCCAUUGGUGUGGUCAGUAGACUGGGGCACAGAGGGAAGGGUGGAAGUGGGGGUUAAGCAGGCAGAGGCUGGAGGAGGACAGAAAGGGAAGGGAGAGGUUAAAGAAGCAGUGAUAUGGGGAAAUUAGAAAUGGGGUAUAGUGGUGUGAGCUGCAAAUAAAGAAUGUGGAACAUGUGGAACAUGCUGCACCUAGACUGGAGAGGCAGGAGAGGGGGAGGGGGGGAGGGAGAGACAGAGAGAGAACACGAACAUGAAUAUGCUCUGAGAUUAGGCCAGUUUCUGAUAUCAUAUGCCCUUAACUCUCCAGGAUGCUUCUAUUGCUCACCGAUUUCACAUCAUGCGAGAGAAAUAUCCUGAGAAGUUCAAUAGCAGGUGAAGGAAAAAGGGGAGGAGCAUGGGCAUACAUGGUGUCAGGGACUGGCUUUGUGACCAAGUUUGACUCAGAAUGUUUAGAUGGGCAGUGAUACCUCUAGGAAACCCUGCACCUCCGAAAAAUAAAGCUACCCUUGUUCCCCUUGGAGUUGGGAGAUUGAUGCUCUUCCCUGUUAUUUACCACCUCUACCACCACUGUAUAACCUGUUCCCUCCCUACUGGGCCUUGUGCUGGGGCUGUUACAGAAUGAAGAACAAGCUAUGGUACUUCGAAUUUGCCACAUCUGAAUCCAUCUUCUCAACAUGCAAAAAGUUGGAGGAGUCUUUGACAGUUGAGGUAUGUAUGAUGAGACCCUACUCUACGUCCUUUCUGCUUCUUAUAGCCAAGCAUUUCCCUGCACAGGCACCCCGAGGAACUUCCCAUAUUCUUCUUCUUCUUUAAAAUGCCUUUAUUUUAUUUUUUAAAUUUUUUAUGUGAUGCUAAGGAUCAAACCCAGUGCCUCACAUGUGCUAGGCAAGUCCUCUGCCACUGACCUACAACCCCAGCCCCUACUUCCCAUAUUCUUGAACUUAUACUUCUUUGACCUCCCAGCUCUCCAACCUUGACUUCCUAAGUCCUCAAGAUGCACUAGUUCCUUUUUUCUUUCAUCUCUUACAAACCUCCAAAUCCUGGCCUUCCUAGUUUGUUACAUAGUCAAGGGAACAGUUACAUCCAUGAUUAUAACAUGAGGUGAGGAUCUGUGCUCUUCCCAACUGGGGUUGUGCCCCACUCCCCUCAGAUCUGUGGGAAACCGCUGGAUCUGAGUAACAUGUCCCUAGAAGGCAUCGCAGUGCUGAACAUACCUAGCAUGCACGGUGGCUCCAACCUCUGGGGUGAUAUCAAGAGACCCCAUGGGGAUAGCUGUGAGAUCAACCAGGCCUUGGGCACAACAGCUAAAGUCAUCACUGACCCUGAUAUCCUGAAAACUUGUGUACAAGGUGAGAGGAGUUGAGUGGGCAGGACUAAGGGGAAAGUGUGACUCCCUUUGGGAAAACACUGCCUCUAUAAAACUUAUCUCCCUAUUUCUCACUGCAGACCCAAGUGACAAACGACUGGAAGUAGUGGGGCUGGAGGGUGCAAUUGAAAUGGGCCAGAUCUAUACCAAGCUCAAGAGUGCUGGACAUCGGCUGGCCAAGUGCUCUGAGAUCACCAUUCAGUAAGGAAGAUUCCAGUCAGUAGCCUGAGGGAAGAAGGGAAGAGGGCAUGGGAAUAGUGGGAAGGGCUAGAGAUCAUCCUCAGUGACAAAGGGUCUCAGGGUCAAGGGGAACCAGAGUCUUGAUAUUUGGUCAGUAAAAAAUCUAUACCAAUCUUCCUUGAUCUCCCACAGCACCAUAAAAACCCUCCCCAUGCAAAUUGACGGGGAACCCUGGAUACAGACACCCUGUACAGUAAGUAUUGCCUAUGCCUGCCAAAAACAGAAUCCUCAGGCUCCAUGGAUCCUCAAUUUCCAUCCCACAACCUUCUUGACUUCCUCCCAAUACCCAAAGUUCCCCUUGAUACCCUUCCUCUAAAACUCUGAUUUCUCAGACUGGCUCCCUACCAUGAUCUCCCCAGAACCCCAGAAACCCACCAACAGUGCCACAUCUUUCCCCCAAAUCCUUUUGUUCCAUCUCCAAGGUAUCAGAUUCAGCCUCUGAACAUGCUCCCUUCCCUUCCCUUCUAGAUCAAGAUCACGCACAAGAACCAGAUGCCCAUGCUCAUGGGCCCACCACCCCGCUCCUCCAAUUUCUUUGGCUUCUUUUCUUGUCCCACUUAGCCUCCAACCUAGCCUUGAAUCCACCUCCCUGUCCCUGAAUUCCACCCCCUAGGCUCUGUACAUUGCUGCCACAUCCUCCUGCUAGUUCAGGGGAGUAUUCCUUUGCCCCCACAAUAUUUAUUAUCCUGAUUCACCUGUCCCCCACCCACAUACAUAUAUGCACAUACACCACACAUAUGUUAAAAGUGCCUCUUCUAAAUAAAGUGACUUUUAUUUUACCGGGUUAUUUG